UACAGAGGGUGCAAGCGUUACUCGGAAUUACUGGGCGUAAAGGGCCUGUAGGCGGAUUAUUAAGUCGGAUGUGAAAUCCCCGGGCUCAACCUGAGAACUGCAUUCGAUACUAGCUUAGUCUAGAGUGUGGAAGAGGAAGAUGGAAUUCCUGGUGUAGGAGUGAAAUGCGUAGAGAUCAGGAGGAACAUCAAUGGCGAAGGCGCCUUUCUGGGGCAACACUGACGCUGAGAGACGAAAGCGUGGGGAGCAAACAGGAUUAGAUACCCUGGUAGUCCACGCCCUAAACGAUGUCAGCUAACUGUUCGGAGUCACUAAUAUUCUGAGAAGUGAAGCUAACGCGAUAAGUUGACCGCGUGGAGAGCACGGCCGCGAGGAUGAAACUCAAAAAAAUUGACGGGGCCCCGCACAAGCGGGGGCAUAUGUGGUAUAUUGAGGAUCCACGAGAAGCCCCUUCUGCCCUCGUCACAGAUUGGGUAUCUUAGAGAGAUCCGAGAGCCCCUUCGGGAACCUGCACACAGGUGCUGCACGGCUGUCGUCAGCUCGUGUCGUGAGAUGUUGGGUUAAGUCCCGCAACGAGCGCAACCCUUGCCCUUAGUUACCAUCAUUUAGUUGGAGACUCUAAGGAGACUGGCGGUGAUAAGGCGGAGGAAGGUGGGGACGACGUCAAGUCAUCAUGGCCCUUAUGACCGGGGCUACACACGUGCUACAAUGGUGUGGGACAGUCGGUCGCGAUCUCGCGAGAGUGAGCUAAUCCGUGAAAAUCGUUUCUAGUCCGGAUGUCAUUUUCCACUUGGCUUCAGGGAAGUGGGAACCGUUGUUAUUCUCAAUUCAGUAUGUUGCGGUGAAUACGUUCCCGGGUCU
rnacentral:rRNA from 1 species